rnacentral:rRNA from 1 species
UACGAAGGGGGCUAGCGUUGUUCGGAAUCACUGGGCGUAAAGCGCACGUAGGCGGAUCUUUAAGUCAGGGGUGAAAUCCCGAGGCUCAACCUCGGAACUGCCUUUGAUAUUGGGGAUCUCGAGUCCGGGAGAGGUGAGUGGAACUGCGAGUGUAGAGGUGAAAUUCGUAGAUAUUCGCAAGAACACCAGUGGCGAAGGCGGCUCACUGGCCCGGAACUGACGCUGAGGUGCGAAAGCGUGGGGAGCAAACAGG